rnacentral:tRNA from 1 species
GCCUCGGUAGCCUAGCUGGUGGGGCGCCGGCUUGGUAAGCCGGCGGUCGCGGGUUCGAAUCCCGCCCGAGGCU